UUGAACGCUGGCGGCAGGCCUAACACAUGCAAGUCGAGCGGUAACAGGAGAGCUUGCUCUCGCUGACGAGCGGCGGACGGGUGAGUAACGCGUAGGAAUCUACCCAGUAGCGGGGGAUAGCCCGGGGAAACUCGGAUUAAUACCGCAUACGCCCCAAGGGGGAAAGCAGGGGAUCUUCGGACCUUGCACUAUUGGAAGAGCCUGCGUUGGAUUAGCUAGUUGGUAGGGUAAAGGCCUACCAAGGCGACGAUCCAUAACUGGUCUGAGAGGAUGAUCAGUCACACCGGAACUGAGACACGGUCCGGACUCCUACGGGAGGCAGCAGUGGGGAAUAUUGGACAAUGGGGGCAACCCUGAUCCAGCCAUGCCGCGUGUGUGAAGAAGGCCUUCGGGUUGUAAAGCACUUUAAGUGGGGAAAAAGGCUCGGCAGCUAAUAUCUGCCGGGAUUGAUACUACCCACAGAAUAAGCACCGGCUAACUCUGUGCCAGCCGCCGCGGUAACAC
rnacentral:rRNA from 1 species